GCACAGAGAAGCUUGCUUCUUGGGUGGCGAGUGGCGAACGGGUGAGUAAUAUAUCGGAACGUACCGAGCAGUGGGGGAUAACUAAUCGAAAGAUUAGCUAAUACCGCAUAUUUUCUGAGGAAGAAAGCAGGGGACCAUUUGGCCUUGCGCUGUUUGAGCGGCCGAUAUCUGAUUAGCUAGUUGGUGGGGUAAAGGCCUACCAAGGCGACGAUCAGUAGCGGGUCUGAGAGGAUGAUCCGCCACACUGGGACUGAGACACGGCCCAGACUCCUACGGGAGGCAGCAGUGGGGAAUUUUGGACAAUGGGCGCAAGCCUGAUCCAGCCAUGCCGCGUGUCUGAAGAAGGCCUUCGGGUUGUAAAGGACUUUUGUCAGGGAAGAAAAGAGCGGGGUUAAUACCCCUGUCUGAUGACGGUACCUGAAGAAUAAGCACCGGCUAACUACGUGCCAGCAGCCGCGGUAAUACGUAGGGUGCGAGCGUUAAUCGGAAUUACUGGGCGUAAAGCGGGCGCAGACGGUUACUUAAGCAGGAUGUGAAAUCCCCGGGCUCAACCUGGGAACUGCGUUCUGAACUGGGUGACUAGAGUGUGUCAGAGGGAGGUAGAAUUCCACGUGUAGCAGUGAAAUGCGUAGAGAUGUAGAGGAAUACCGAUGGCGAAGGCAGCCUCCUGGGAUAACACUGACGUUCAUGCCCGAAAGCGUGGGUAGCAAACAGGAUUAGAUANCCUGGUAGUCCACGCCCUAAACGAUGUCGAUUAGCUGUUGGGCAGCAUGACUGCUUAGUAGCGAAGCUA
rnacentral:rRNA from 1 species